rnacentral:rRNA from 1 species
GGAUAUGAGAUGUGAUCGCAUGGUCAUGUUUGGAAAGAUUUUUCGGUCUGGGAUGGGCUCGCGGCCUAUCAGCUUGUUGGUGAGGUAAUGGCUCACCAAGGCGUCGACGGGUAGCCGGCCUGAGAGGGUGACCGGCCACACUGGGACUGAGACACGGCCCAGACUCCUACGGGAGGCAGCAGUGGGGAAUAUUGCACAAUGGGCGGAAGCCUGAUGCAGCAACGCCGCGUGAGGGAUGACGGCCUUCGGGUUGUAAACCUCUUUUAGCAGGGAAGAAGCGAAAGUGACGGUACCUGCAGAAAAAGCGCCGGCUAACUACGUGCCAGCCGCCGCGGUAAUACAA